rnacentral:tRNA from 1 species
AGUUCCGUGGUGAGUUCAUGUUGGAUUGCAAAUCCAAAGACGCAGAUUAAACUCUGCCGGGGCUU